rnacentral:rRNA from 1 species
GAUGAACGCUGGCGGCGUGCUUAAUACAUGCAAGUCGAGCGGAAAGGUCUCUUCGGAGAUACUCGAGCGGCGGACGGGUGAGUAACGCGUAAGAAUGUACCCCAAAGUGAGGAAUAAGCACCAGAAAUGGUGUCUAAUGCCGCAUGUGCUCUUCGGAGUAAGGCUUUAUGCGCUUUGGGAACAGCUUGCGUCUGAUUAGCUAGUUGGUAAGGUAACGGCUUACCAAGGCGACGAUCAGUAGCUGGUCUGAGAGGAUGACCAGCCACACUGGGACUGAGACACGGCCCAGACUCCUACGGGAGGCAGCAGUAGGGAAUUUUCCACAAUGGGCGAGAGCCUGAUGGAGCAACGCCGCGUGAUGGAUGAAGGCCUUCGGGUUGUAAACAUCUUUUGUCUGUGACGAAUAUGACGGUAGCAGACGAAUAAGGAUCGGCUAACUACGUGCCAGCCGCCGCGGUAA